CUUCUAAUCACGGAACCGGCUUUACUGAUGAAACACGCAUGAGAAUCGCAGACGAUUAUUUUGCACAGCCCUACUCUCCUACGCACUCACACACACACACUCACUCUCUCUCUCUCACUCUCCCCCUCUCUCUGUUUGUCCCUCUUUCAAUUUGUUUUGCCUAUUUUUCUUUGCAUUCUUUCUUUUCUUCAAUAUGGCAUCUUCAGGUUUUGACCAGUUAUGCCAGGAAGCUGCAACUAUUUCAAAGCAUCUUGACAUGAAAGCUGACAAUGCUGAACUUGGAGCAGCUACCAGAGAGGCUGAAGAAAUUCUACAAAUGUUCAAUCCUCCACUGCUGAAAAUGAAGACCAAACGAGCAAUUUCCUGGACUCAACAGAUACAGUGAACUUUGCACUGCAUUUCAAAGCCAGCUCCUCAGCCGCAACACCGAGAACCAGAGUUGAGGUCAAUGUACUGCUGAGAAAAGUGCAAGAUCUGUUUAACCAAAAUUAUAAGGAUGCCGGAGGUACUGGAAGGCGCCCCUGGUAAAUCAAGGCAUGACAGUUAAAGUUGCAGGACUGCCCAACAGCCUUACUUUCAAAAAGCCAUCCUAUUGUGGAAGGAAGCAGUUGGGAGGCCAUUUUGCAAGCGGCUGAGGAGAUUUCAUUUGAAAUCAGUACAGAGCUGGAAGAAAAGUCCUCAGAAACAGCCACUACUGUAGCUAUCGUGAUGACUGCAGAUUAAGAUGGAGGCCAUUUGUGCUGUGUCUGCCGCGUCCUUUCGAUGACAGGAAGAAGAAUGCUUCAGAGAAGUGGCGUUCAUGGUCACAGUGUGCCAAUCAUGGUCACACACUGCAUGUCAAGACACCAUGCAAACAGCCUGUAGCGCUGCAUCAGUGAUAGGAAACAUGCUAGUUACACAAGAUGUUUUAUGUUUUAACUUUGAGCUGUUUUUACUUUGUUCAUGACCCAAUCCCUACAAACACACACACACACACAUGCAUUUUUUUUUAAAAUGUAUUAGGUGCCAUUUAAUCUUUUUUAUGCUAAUUUAUUGUAAUGAUUACACUUAUAAUAAAACAGAUUUUUCAUUCACUCUAA